rnacentral:rRNA from 1 species
AUGGAGAACGGCGGCGAGCCGAGCAUCAAGAAAUCGAGGUUGCAGAAGGAGCCCAUGGCGGUGAAGCAUGAACGGGCGGAGACGAGGGAGAGCCAAGGCGGCGAAGGUGCGCUGUUGGCGGUGGAGGAAGCCAUGCAGGUUCCAUGGGUGGCCGCGGAGGUGAACCCACUCUUCUAUCUCUGCUUUGCAUGCCAACUUCCCCUCAGGCCUCCCGUGCACCAGUGCGAGGGCGGCCACAGGGUGUGCGGCAGGUGCCAUGGCGACCGCUGCACGGCGUGCGACCCGCCGGCGGCUUACAGCCCCUUCCCCUUCAUGGACGACGCGCUGGCCGCCGUGCGGCUGCCGUGCUGCUACAGGGCCGACGGCUGCGGGAGGAAGCUCAUGUACCACGAGGCCGCCGACCACGCGCUGCAGUGCGCCUUCGCGCCCUGCCACUGCCCGGGCCACGGCUGCAGCAUGUGGGCCUCCCCGCCGGCCCUCCUCGACCACAUCACCGCCGCCCACUCCUGGCCCGUCACGGAGGUCGGCUACGGGAGCCCGUUCAGGAUCGCCGUGCCGGCGCCGUGGCGCGGCGGCGGCACGCACCUCCUCGUCGAGCGGAACGACCCGCGCCUGUUCCUCGUGACCCUCUCCGAUUUCGGCGAGGCCACCGCUGUCACGGUGGUGUGCGUGCGGGAGGGCACGGCGGCGGCGGCGCCCCGCUUCAGGUCCACGGUAUGGGCUGAGGUUGCGAGCAACACGGAGGAAAAAUUGUUUCGUCGUCAGUCCACGGUGCCGAGCAGCAGCAGCGGCGGCAGUCUUCCCGGUGGAGGGCCGCCGGUGUGCCUGCUGGUGCCACCGGAUUUUGGGAGCGAGAGCGAAGACCUCUUCCUCGGUGUUCGCAUUGACAAGCUCUGA